rnacentral:rRNA from 1 species
UUCCAGCUCCAGUAGCGUAUAUUAAAGUUGUUGCAGUUAAAAAGCUCGUAGUUGGAUUUCUGGUUUCACAGAACUGGCCUACUUCCUCAAGGUCGUGUGCGCCGUGUUUUGUGUACCAUCCUUCUAGAAAUUGUGUUCCAUCCCUUCACUGGGAUAGAUCCGAGAUCUAGAUCUUUUACUUUGAAGAAAUUAGAGUGUUCAAAGCAGGCUCGCGCUGUGAAUACAUUAGCAUGGAAUAAUAAUUUAGGACUUGGUAUCCUAUUUUGUUGGUUUUCAGGAUCUAAGUAAUGAUUGAUAGGGAUAGUUGGGGGUGCUAGUAUUUUGCGGCCAGAGGUGAAAUUCUGUGAUUCGCGAAAGACUAACUUAUGCGAAAGCAUUCACCAAGGAUGUCUUCAUCG